UACGUAGGGUGCAAGCGUUAAUCGGAAUUACUGGGCGUAACGCGUGCGCAGGCGGUUUUGUAAGACUGUCGUGAAAUCCCCGGGCUCAACCUGGGAACUGCAUUUGUGACUGCAAGGCUGGAGUACGGUAGAGGGGGAUGGAAUUCCGCGUGUAGCAGUGAAAUGCGUAGAUAUGCGGAGGAACACCGAUGGCGAAGGCAAUCCCCUGGACCUGUACUGACGCUCAUGCACGAAAGCGUGGGGAGCAAACAGG
rnacentral:rRNA from 1 species